UGCCUACGGGGGGCAGCAGUGGGGAAUUUUGGACAAUGGGCGCAAGCCUGAUCCAGCAAUGCCGCGUGCAGGAAGAAGGCCUUCGGGUUGUAAACUGCUUUUGUCAGGGAAGAAAUCCUUUGGGUUAAUACCUCGAAGGGAUGACGGUACCUGAAGAAUAAGCACCGGCUAACUACGUGCCAGCAGCCGCGGUAAUACGUAGGGUGCGAGCGUUAAUCGGAAUUACUGGGCGUAAAGCGUGCGCAGGCGGCUUUGCAAGACAGAGGUGAAAUCCCCGGGCUCAACCUGGGAACUGCCUUUGUGACUGCAAGGCUAGAGUACGGCAGAGGGGGAUGGAAUUCCGCGUGUAGCAGUGAAAUGCGUAGAUAUGCGGAGGAACACCGAUGGCGAAGGCAAUCCCCUGGGCCUGUACUGACGCUCAUGCACGAAAGCGUGGGGAGCAAACAGGAUUAGAUACCCGGGUAGUCAA
rnacentral:rRNA from 1 species